GCCCCUGUAGCUCAGAGGAUAGAGUGACGGAUUCCUAAUCCGUUGGUCGCAGGUUCGAGUCCUGCCAGGGGCA
rnacentral:tRNA from 1 species